rnacentral:rRNA from 1 species
AUUGAACGCUGGCGGCAUGCCUUACACAUGCAAGUCGAACGGUAACAGGUCUUCGGGUGCUGACGAGUGGCGAACGGGUGAGUAAUACAUCGGAACGUGCCCGAUCGUGGGGGAUAACGAGGCGAAAGCUUUGCUAAUACCGCAUACGAUCUACGUAUGAAAGCGGGGGAUCUUCGGACCUCGCGCGGACGGAGCGGCCGAUGGCAGAUUAGGUAGUUGGUGGGAUAAAAGCUUACCAAGCCGACGAUCUGUAGCUGGUCUGAGAGGAUGAUCAGCCACACUGGCACUGAGACACGGCCCAGACUCCUGCGGGAGGCAGCAGUGGGGAAUUUUGGACAAUGGGCGAAAGCCUGAUCCAGCCAUGCCGCGUGAAGGAUGAAGGCCUUCGGGUUGUAAACUGCUUUUGUACGGAACGAAAAGCCUCUUUCUAAUAAAGAGGGGUCAUGACGGUACCGUAAGAAUAAGCUCCGGCUAACUACGUG